GAUGAACGCUGGCGGCGUGCCUAAUACAUGCAAGUCGAGCGGACGGACGAGAAGCUUGCUUCUCUGAUGUUAGCGGCGGACGGGUGAGUAACACGUGGAUAACCUACCUAUAAGACUGGGAUAACUUCGGGAAACCGGAGCUAAUACCGGAUAAUAUUUUGAACCGCAUGGUUCAAAAGUGAAAGACGGUCUUGCUGUCACUUAUAGAUGGAUCCGCGCUGCAUUAGCUAGUUGGUAAGGUAACGGCUUACCAAGGCAACGAUGCAUAGCCGACCUGAGAGGGUGAUCGGCCACAUUGGAACGGAGACACGGUCCAGACUACUGCGGGAGGCAGCAGUAGGGAAUCGUCCGCAAUGGGCGAAAGUAUGACGGAACAAGGCCGAGUGAGUGAUGAAGGUGUUCGGAUCGUAAAACUCUGUUAUUAGGGAAGAACAUAUGUGUAAGUAACUGUGGACAUCUUGACGGUACCUAAUCAGAAAGCAACGGCUAACUACGUG
rnacentral:rRNA from 1 species